UACGGAGGAUGCGAGCGUUAUCCGGAUUUAUUGGGUUUAAAGGGUGCGUAGGCGGUAUUUUAAGUUAGUGGUAAAACGUCGGGGCUUCACCUUGAUUGGCCAUUAAAACUGGAGUACUAGAGUACAGACGAGGUAGGCGGAAUAAGUUAAGUAGCGGUGAAAUGCUUAGAUAUAUGGAAGAACACCAGUGGCGAAGGCGGCCGCCUGGCCUGUUACUGACGCUGAGGCACGAAAGCGUGGGGAGCAAAUAGG
rnacentral:rRNA from 1 species